UGACUGUUUUAGAUUCGUGUAAAUAUUUAAUAUUUCGAUCCAAUGAACACAACACUGUAUUUGUUUUUAUAAUCGGAAAAAACCUUAUGAUUCAACUUUCGAAAUUAAAAUAAGUCGUAAUGGGAAAACGAUCGUGCGCCCCAUUAGUUUCAACCUCGGCGCUCGACCCCACACAUCAAUUAUAACGCUAACUUAUAAAAAGACAAAAUACAAACACAAAAAAAUGACAGGUUUAAAUUAAA
rnacentral:lncRNA from 1 species